rnacentral:rRNA from 1 species
GACAGAGGGGGCAAGCGUUGCUCGGAAUUACUGGGCGUAAAGGGCGCGUAGGCGGGAUGGCAAGUCGGUCGUGAAAUCCUUCGGCUCAACCGAAGAACGUCGAUCGAUACUGCUGUUCUUGAGGGUUGCAGAGGAGACUGGAAUUCCCGGUGUAGCGGUGAAAUGCGUAGAUAUCGUAAGGAAGACCAGUGGCGAAGGCGAGUCUCUGGACAGUUACCGACGCUGAGGCACGAAGGUCAGGGGAGCAAACGGG